rnacentral:lncRNA from 1 species
CGGCGCGCGGGGGGCGGGGGGGGCCGGGCCGGGCCGGGCGCGCCCCCGAACCCCCCCGGGACCGCGGGGACAGAGCGGGGGCGGCCGCGGGGGGCUUCGGUGGCCGGCCCCAGAUACCCCCGAAUCGCUGCUUGGCUUUGGUUUUUUCCUCCUUUCAAAACUUUCUUUUGGUGUGUUUUUGGAGGGGGACCCGGCGCGUCCCUCCGCCCACCCCGCGCUGCGACAUCCGCGCCUCGCCGUUUAUUUCUCUUUAUGUCGCUGCUCCCCAGCCCGGUGGCCCCGGCGCGUCUUCCCCUGCGCGGCCGGACAGGGCUGCGCUGCCGCGGGAUGCGGGACCCUCAUCCCGGUGCCGCAUCCCGGUUCCUCAUCCCGGUUCCUUAUCCCGGUACCGCACCCGGGUCCCGCACCCCGGCCUGGAGCUGUGCCGGGGGAAGGAGCGGCCUCCUCCUCCCUCCCCCUCUCCACAAAAAGUUUUUUGUGCUUUGGGUGAGUUUUAAGGUAAGUGGCUGUGCUCUAUUGCAGAGCCUUUGUCUGCAGGAACUCUGUGAGCAGAGCGGGGCUUUGCUCCAGGAGAACUGGGGGGUUUUUAUUCCUGAAACGCCGAGGACGCUUCUCCCAGAGUUGUGUUUCUUCCCUCUGCUGAAUAUUCAAUAUUCCAGGAGAGGGACACUGAAUUUUGCGUGGUUACUUGCGGUGGACAAGGUAAACUUUGAGGAGAUAAUGUGAAUGAUUUUCCCUGGGUAAUGUCAGCUCCAGGGCGGUGCGUGCUGGAAUUGCGCUCCCCAAAUCUCAUCUAAUAAAUGUGUUUGUUGCAGAACAUCAAAGCAAACGCGGGCAGGGGAUGGUUCUGAUCUCAGCUGGGGCCUGAAUCUGCACGAAUGUACCUGGAGAGGAGCAAAACGCCGUGACAGCAGCCCGGCUCUGCUGCUGACUGGCAGGGACAAACACCGGGACAAUUUGGAGGGUAAUGGAUUGGCCGAAAAGGGUCAUAAUUAGGACAUUUUUCAUCCUGCAAGUCCAUCUGCUGCAAGGGGCUCUGCCUUCCCAGAGAGGCUGCUCGGAGCGCGGCGAGGGGCUUGACAAGUUUGAACAAUAAACAAGAGCGAAAGGGGGAAGGAGCUUUGCAGUUAUUGUGUGUGAUUUGAUAAUUUCUGGCUUAUUAUUUUUAAUUAUUGCUCGAUGGACUAUUUAGACAAGGUGGACAAGCUGAUUAAUCACAGCCGGGUGGAAGCUGCCUUUAAAAGCUGCUGCUGCUGCUGCUGCUGCUCUCCUGUCAGGAUGGAAGUUUUCCUUUUCUUUUUUCGGGAAUUCACAUUGUUUUACCCCCAGUGCUGAGCUCAGAGAGCCGGGAAGAUUUUUAGUGAGGAUUACAGCCCCUGUUUGAUGGGUUUUUCCUGCCUUGGUGCUAAACCAAAUCCCUGGUUUUUUAGGAAAUAAAACUCUCCAAGCGUUUGUGCACGGAGUGGAGGAGAUGGGAAUUUUGGGAGCGGAGGGAAUGGUGGCCCGAGGGGGAUUUUGAGGAGGUUUUUCUCCCCAAAUUUAAAAUAUUGCUGUGCUUCCAAUGAGUUGUGCUGAAAGGAGUUGUUUUGUGGAAUUCUGGGGGUUCUGGGGGGAGGAGGGGUUGAUCCCGCUCCCCUUUGAGCCUGGGGAGGUUCAGGCUCUGCUCCGAUCCCCGGGAUUUGGAAUUGGGGUUGGGAAGGCUUCCCCAGGGAUGCUGUGAUGUCAGCAGGUCCCCUCUGAGCUCACACAGGCCAGCGGUGCCUCUGCCCUGCCACCAACCCCCCCACUGGGUGAGAAAUCCAAGGAGAAGCUGCUGCCAUCCCGGGAAAGGCUUUCCCUGCUCCUGGAGCGCAACGAGGGAAAAGCGGGAAGGUUUGGGGUGUGGUGGAAUUCCCUAAAAACAGAGGCAUUCCUGCAGCAGAUCUCUUAAUUUUGAUAUCAAAACUGCAUCAAUUAUUGAUCCAUGGCCCAAAAGACGGAAUUCCAGGUGCGAUUGUGCCUUUGGAUUACCUGGGAAUGUUUGCUCUGCUGUUUUCCGAGGGUGGUUUUGGCAGGGUUCGUUCAUCUCUUGUUAAUUGCAGCUCCAUUAAUUGCGGCUUAAUUAUCACAAAAAUCCCCCUCCUCAGCAGCGACAUUUUAUUAAAUACAGGAGCGGGCUGCAUCCCACAGAAAUAUUCCCAGACUUUGCCUUUUCCCUGUGCAGUGUGAGCAGGGAAGGCUCAGCCCCGUCCCUGCUUUUCCCUUUCGGCUUUUCCCUUCCUGUUUCUCCCUGAUUUUCCUCCGUCCCCUUCUCCCAGCCCUGCUCGGGUCUCCAGGGAUCCCGCCUUGUGCCAUUCCAGGUGUGAAGUGCCCCGGAUUUCCCUCCUAUCCCAGAUAUUCCCGGUGCAGGGAUGGAAUUUGUGCUUUGGGUGUUGGGGGGAGCUGCCCGAGAGCUGUGGGACCGUCCUGGAUCCCAGGACAUGAGGUUGGUGCGGAGCCCCUUGAUCCCAUUUCCUAUUCCUGCUGAUCCAGAGGUGUUGGACACCUCUGGCACGGCCUCCCCAGCUGCGCUCAGGUGCCUCUUCGGCCCAUAUCUAUUUAUUUUCCCAAAUCCCAGAGUUUCUCAGGGAUUCUGACCCGGCCUUAUCAGAAGGUCGCAGUGCAGUGGGAUAAAAAAGGAGAUAAGGAGCAGGAGCUGAUGGGGAACGGCCUUGGGGCCUUUAAUUGGAAUUUAAUUCCUUCCAGAAUUGCCUUUAAUUGUGUAACUCCAGCUCAGAAUUCCUUGGGAUUGGAUUCGUUUUGUAACUCCAGCUCAGAAUUCCAGGAGAUUUUAUUCAUUUGGAAGUUCUGUUUCUCUGGCCUGUCGUGAUAAAACCCAGCCCUGCUGCACCUUGAGCUGGGGACAGCAGGGUGUGAUUUGAGCUUGGCAAAUCCUGGGAAUGGCUGGAAAAACUGGAGAACAGGCACUGUCCCACUUCUUUUUUAAUAUAAAAAGUAACAGCAGCCUGAAGGCUCCAGGGCAAGUGGAAAUAGAUUCAUUUUUCAUUUGUGCCUACAAACACCAUCGUGGGGGACUCGCUCCGGGGAGUGAAGUGAAAGGAAUUCGGGAAUUUCGGGAGAAUAAUCCCAGCCCUGGGGGGAAAUGAUCCCGAUUAUUUCUGAGCUGGGUGGCAGCGUUGGUGUCUGUUAAAUACUGGAACAGUGGGAUUCAUUUCCCACUUCCAAAAUCAUCCUGGGAAGGCAAAGCUGGGAGGAGAAUCAGGGUUAGGGUGAGAUUGGAGGCAGCAGGAAAGGAAAAGAUGUUUGCUCCUGGAAAAAAAGGUUGGGAAGUGCUAAAAAGAGGAGAAUCCGAGGAAAAGGGAGGAAAAGUUGGGAUUUGCACCGUUGCUGACAGAAAUCCCGGUGCUGAUGGGCAGCUCCCCACUUUGGGGAAGGAAAAUCUGGGGUGAGUUUAUUCCCAUUCCCACCUGGGAGUCGGGAGCUCGAGCUGGAGCAUUCCCUGGCUCGGGCACUGCCUCCACUGUGGAAAACAGAAACAAUUCCCCGUUUUCUGCUCGUUCUCCCACAGCUGGAAACCACCGGGCACAGCCUUGGACUUCACAAAUGCUCUUGGGAAUUUUUUUUUUUUUUCCCCCUGGAGAUUAAAGGGAUUAAUGUGGAGAUUUAGGGAAGGGGGGGAGGAUCAUUUAUUUAUUUAUUUAGCAUUUAUUUAUUUGUUUAUUUAUUUAAUGUUUAUUUUAUUUCUUUAACAUUUCUUUCUUUAUUCAUUGAUCCAUUGAUCCAUUUAUUUCAUUAUUUAUUUAUUUAUUCGCUCCAGGACUUUUGGCUCCAAGCUCGACAGACUUUGCCUGCAUGGAAAAUUUAUCCCUCUCGUUUCGAGCGGGAUGGAAAUGCCCUCCCCAAAGUGUUCCCCUCCCUUCCCAAAGGGUUUUCUCCUAAGAGGAAAGAAAGGAGAAUUUUAAUGAAUUUAUUCUCUUUUUUCCCCCCCAAAGUGCAGCUUUAAAUUUUGGGGUUACUUUUUUCCUGGCCAGCGCUGCUGGCUGUGGAUUUUCCCGGUUUUCCAGGCACAGCUUCCCCUCAGAGCCAGGGCUGGAAGAGCUUCUCCAUGCUGGGAUAAAUCAAUCUGCUUCCAAUCACUCGGGAAAACCAAUCAAAGCCUCAAGGAAAACUCCAGGAAUGAGGACAAAAGAGGGAAUUUUCCUUCCUGACAAUCAGAGCACUCCAGAAAAGGGGAAAUUCCCUGCAGGGAAUGCUGGAGACACAGGAUCACCAUCAUCAUGUACCCAUUUGAAUCCGUUUUUCCUCAUAAAUGAGUGAUGUGGAUGAAAGGAGUGAUGUCCCGGUGGGAAUGCUGGUGGUGAGGGAUCACCAUCAUUUUCUGCUUGUUUUUAUCCAUUUUUUCUUAUAAAUUAGGGAUCUGGAGAAAAGGAGUAAUGCCCUGCAGGGAAUGUUGGUGGCACAGGAUCACCAUCACAAUUUACCUGGUUUUAUCCAUUUUUCCUUAUAAAUGAGUGAUAGGGACAAAAGGAAAAACGUCCUGGUGGGAAUGCUGGUGGCCCAGGAUCACCAUCACAAUUCAGCGACUUUUAUGAUUUUUUUUUAAUAAAUGAGAGAUACAGAGAAAAGGAAAAAUGUCCUGCAGGGAAUGCUGGUGACACCAUCAUUUCCUACCUCUUUUUAUCCAUUUUUCCUUGUAAAUCAGGCUACUGAGUGGUCACUGUGCCACCACCUCGUGCCACCGUGAAAUCUCUCUCAGCGAGGUUAAAGGGAAUUAAAAUGCCUUCACAAGGCACAAAACCUGCUAACAAUUUUUAUAAAAAUUAUGAUCCCAACCCAGCCCUAAACUCCUGCUGGCUUCUCAUUGUGAUCUCUUUAUUUUUUAUCCCUUUCUUUUGCCCAGCGAGCAGCGUGGGGGUGAAUUCCGUGCCCGAUUCCGAGUCCCAUCCAGAGGGAUGGAUAAACGGCCGUAAUUUCGAAGCAGCCCUGCUCUGUUUUCCGAGCAAUAGCUCAAAUUACAGAGCCCAGCACCAGCUUUACAAGAAAAUCCAUCAGAAUUGGGAAGGGGAAUAAAACUGCCAUUCUCUCUACCUGUUUGUGCAGCUCCUGCCUAAUGCAGGCAGAGCCCGACUGUUUAUUUGGAGAAGGAAAGUUGUGGAAAUAUCCUUGGAGGGUGUAAUGUGGCCAGCACGUGUUGCUGGGAGCUACCUGAAGUCUGGGCCCUAAUGGCUUGCAGAUGUCCCUGGGUCACCGAUUUCCUCGGAGCCAGCUCCUCAAAUUCAACACGAAAUUCAAAUGAAUUAAAAAAAAAGAAAAGAAAAAAAAAAGAAAUAAAAUAAAAUAAAAUAAAGUAAAAAAAAAAAUAAAAUGAAAUAAAGUAAAAUAAAACAAAAAAUGAAAUGAAAUGAAAUAAAAUAAAAUAAAUGAAAUGAAAUAAAAUAAAUGAAAUGAAAUAAAAUAAAAUAAAUAAAAUAAAAUAAAUAAAAUGAAAUAAAAUAAAAUAAAUAAAAUAAAACAAAAUAAAUGAAAUAAAAUAAAAUGAAAUGAAAUAAAAUAAAAUAAAAUAAAAGGGGGU